rnacentral:rRNA from 1 species
CAUUACUGAGUUUUAAACUCCCAAACCAUUGUGAACUUACCACUGUUGCCUCGGCGGCAGUCCUCUGUAACAGGAGGCGGCCGCCGGUGGACUACUAAACUCUUGUUAAUUUUUGUCAAUUCUGAAUUAAAAACUUAAUAAGUUAAAACUUUCAACAACGGAUCUCUUGGUUCUGGCAUCGAUGAAGAACGCAGCGAAAUGCGAUAAGUAAUGUGAAUUGCAGAAUUCAGUGAAUCAUCGAAUCUUUGAACGCACAUUGCGCCCAUUAGUAUUCUAGUGGGCAUGCCUGUUCGAGCGUCAUUUCAACCCUUAAGCUUAGCUUAGUAUUGGGAAUCUGCCUAAACCGCAGUUCCUUAAAUCUAGUUGGCAGAGCACAUCUGUACUCUGAGCGUAGUAAUUCAUUAUCUCGCUUUCUGAAGACAGUUGUACGAUCGCCAUAAACCUAUUUAUUUUUUAAUGGUUGNCCUCGGAUCAGGUAGGAAUACCC